AUUACUUUGGCAGAAUUAUGUGUUAGGUUUAGAACCUAAAUAAGGAUUUAGAAUCCAGGUAAUA
rnacentral:tRNA from 2 species